rnacentral:rRNA from 1 species
UACAGAGGUCUCAAGCGUUGUUCGGAUUCAUUGGGCGUAAAGGGUGCGUAGGCGGCGCGGUAAGUCGGGUGUGAAAUCUCGGAGCUUAACUCCGAAACUGCAUUCGAUACUGCCGUGCUUGAGGACUGGAGAGGAGACUGUAAUUUACGGUGUAGCGGUGAAAUGCGUAGAUAUCGUAAGGAAGACCAGUGGCGAAGGCGGGUCUCUGGACAGUUCCUGACGCUGAGGCACGAAGGUCAGGGGAGCAAACGGG